CCGUAACUAUAACGGUCCUAAGGUAGCGAAAUUCCUUGUCGGGUAAGUUCCGACCCGCACGAAAGGCGUAACGAUUUGGGCACUGUCUCAACGAGAGACUCGGUGAAGUUUUAGUACCUGUGAAGAUGCAGGUUACCCGCGACUAGACGGAAAGACCCCAUGGAGCUUUACUGUAGCUUGAUAUUGGACUUUGAUGCAAGAUGUACAGGAUAGGUAGGAGACUGAGAGACAUGCACGCCAGUGUGUGAGGAGUCAAUGUUGGGAUACUACUCUUCUUGUAUUGGAGUUCUAACCGGAUGCCAUGGAACUGGCAACGGGACAGUGUCAGGUGGGCAGUUUGACUGGGGCGGUCGCCUCCCAAAGAGUAACGGAGGCGCCCAAAGAUACCCUCAGCUUGGAUGGAAAUCAAGCGCAGAGUGCAAAGGCAUAAGGGUGUUUGACUGCGAGACCUACAAGUCGAGCAGGGACGAAAGUCGGGCUUAGUGAUCCGGUGGUUCCGCAUGGAAGGGCCAUCGCUCAACGGAUAAAAGCUACCCUGGGGAUAACAGGCUUAUCUCCCCCAAGAGUCCACAUCGACGGGGAGGUUUGGCACCUCGAUGUCGGCUCAUCGCAUCCUGGAGCUGAAGUCGGUUCCAAGGGUUGGGCUGUUCGCCCAUUAAAGCGGUACGCGAGCUGGGUUCAGAACGUCGUGAGACAGUUCGGUCCCUAUCCGUCGCGGGCGUUGGAAAUUUGAGAGGAGCUGUCCUUAGUACGAGAGGACCGGGAUGGACUUACCGCUGGUGUACCAGUUGUUCUGCCAAGGGCAUUGCUGGGUAGCUAUGUAGGGAAGGGAUAAACGCUGAAAGCAUCUAAGUGUGAAGCCCACCUCAAGAUGAGAUUUCCCAUUUCUUUAAGAAAGUAAGACCCCUGAGAGAUGAUCAGGUAGAUAGGUUGGAAGUGGAAGGCUAGUGAUAGUUGGAGCGGACCAAUACUAAUCGGUCGAGGACUUAACCAA
rnacentral:rRNA from 1 species